rnacentral:rRNA from 1 species
UAGGGAAUAUUGGGCAAUGGAGGCAACUCUGACCCAGCCAUGCCGCGUGAAGGAUGACUGUCCUAUGGAUUGUAAACUUCUUUUGUUAGGGACGAAACCCUUGGAUUCAUCCGAGGCUGACGGUACCUAAAGAAUAAGCACCGGCUAACUCCGUGCCAGCAGCCGCGGUAAUACGGAGGGUGCAAGCGUUAUCCGGAUUCACUGGGUUUAAAGGGUGCGUAGGUGGAUCAGUAAGUCAGUGGUGAAAGCCCCGGGCUCAACUUGGGAAUUGCCAUUGAUACUGCUGGUCUUGAGUUCGGUUGAGGUAGGCGGAAUAAGUCAUGUAGCGGUGAAAUGCUUAGAUAUGACUUAGAACACCGAUUGCGAAGGCAGCUUACCAAGCCGACACUGACACUGAGGCACGAAAGCGUGGGGAUCAAACAGG